UACGGGGGGGGCAAGCGUUGUUCGGAAUUACUGGGCGUAAAGGGCUCGUAGGUGGCCAACUAAGUCGGACGUGAAAUCCCUCAGCUUAACUGGGGAACUGCGUCCGAUACUGGAUGGCUUGAGUUUGGGAGAGGGAUGCGGAAUUCCAGGUGUAGCGGUGAAAUGCGUAGAUAUGACAUAGAACACCAAUUGCGAAGGCAGCUUACUACAGGAAUAUUGACACUGAUGCACGAAAGCGUGGGGAUCAAACAGG
rnacentral:rRNA from 1 species